rnacentral:rRNA from 1 species
CCUGGAUGAUCCUGCCAGUAGUCAUAUGCUUGUCUCAAAGAUUAAGCCAUGCAUGUCUAAGUUCAAGCAAAAAUAAUGUGAAACCGCGAAUGGCUCAUUAUAUCAGUUAUGGUUCCUUAGAUCGCACUUACUACUUGGAUAACUGUGGUAAUUCUAGAGCUAAUACAUGCGUUGGACUCCAAACUUUACGGUGAGGAGUGCUUUUAUUAGAUCAAAGCCAAUCGGGUCUUCGGAUUCGUUUUGUUGGUGACUCUGAAUAACUUUGCUGAUCGCACGGUCUUGCACCGGCGACGUAUCUUUCAAGUGUCUGCCUUAUCAACUGUCGAUGGUAGGUUAUGCGCCUACCAUGGUUGUAACGGGUAACGGGGAAUCAGGGUUCGAUUCCGGAGAGGGAGCCUGAGACACGGCUACCACCUCUAAGGAAGGCAGCAGGCGCGCAAAUUACCCACUCCCGGCACGGGGAGGUAGUGACGAAAAAUAACGAUACGGAACUCAUACGAGGCUCCGUAAUCGGAAUGAGUACACUUUAAAUCCUUUAACGAGGAUCUAUUGGAGGGCAAGUCUGGUGCCAGCAGCCGCGGUAAUUCCAGCUCCAAUAGCGUAUAUUAAAGUUGUUGUGGUUAAAAAGCUCGUAGUUGGAUCUCGGUUUCGGGUGGAUGGUGCAUCUUGCGGUGUUUACUAUCUACUCGGACGAUUUUGUUGGUUCGUUCCUGGUUCUCUUAAUCGAGUGCCUUGAGUGGCCAACACGUUUACUUUGAAAAAAUUGGAGUGCUCAAAGCAGGCGCUACAGCCUGAACAUUAGUGCAUGGAAUAAUGGAAUAGGAUCUCGGUUCUAUUUCGUUGGCUUUCGGAGUCGAGGUAAUGAUUAAUAGGGACAGACGGGGGCAUUCGUACUGCGACGUUAGAGGUGAAAUUCUUGGAUCGUCGCAAGACGAACUACUGCGAAAGCAUUUGCCAAGAAUGUUUUCAUUAAUCAAGAACGAAAGUUAGAGGUUCGAAGGCGAUCAGAUACCGCCCUAGUUCUAACCAUAAACGAUGUCGACCGGCAAUCUGCUCUCGUUAAAUUAAUGACUGAGCAGGCGGCCUGCUGGAAACAAGAGUAUUUGGAUUCCAGGGGGAGUGUGGUUGCAAAGCUGAAACUUAAAAGAAUUGACGGAAGGGCACCACCAGGAGUGGAGCCUGCGGCUUAAUUUGACCCAACACGGGAAAUCUCACCAGGCCCGGACACCGGAAGGAUUGACAGAUUGAGAGCUCUUUCUUGAUUCGGUGGGUGGUGGUGCAUGGCCGUUCUUAGUUGGUGGAGCGAUUUGUCUGGUUAAUUCCGAUAACGAACGAGACUCUGGCCUACUAAAUAGACGUCAGAUCAUCU